CGGCGGACGGGUGAGUAACGCGUGGGUAACCUGCCUCAUACAGGGGGAUAACAGUUAGAAAUGACUGCUAAUACCGCAUAAGACCACAGCACCGCAUGGUGCGGGGUAAAAACUCCGGUGGUAUGAGAUGGACCCGCGUCUGAUUAGCUAGUUGGUAAGGUAACGGCUUACCAAGGCGACGAUCAGUAGCCGACCUGAGAGGGUGACCGGCCACAUUGGGACUGAGACACGGCCCAA
rnacentral:rRNA from 1 species